GACGAACGCUGGCGGCGUGCCUAAUACAUGCAAGUAGAACGCUGAAGAGAGGAGCUUGCUCUUCUUGGAUGAGAUGCGAACGGGUGGGUAACGCGUAGGUAACCUGCCUUGUAGCGGGGGAUAACUAUUGGAAACGAUAGCUAAUACCGCAUAACAAUGGAUGACACAUGUCAUUUAUUUGAAAGGGGCAAUUGCUCCACUACAAGAUGGACCUGCGUUGUAUUAGCUAGUAGGUGAGGUAAUGGCUCACCUAGGCGACGAUACAUAGCCGACCUGAGAGGGUGAUCGGCCACACUGGGACUGAGACACGGCCCAGACUCCUACGGGAGGCAGCAGUAGGGAAUCUUCGGCAAUGGGGGCAACCCUGACCGAGCAACGCCGCGUGAGUGAAGAAGGUUUUCGGAUCGUAAAGCUCUGUUGUAAGUCAAGAACGGGUGUGAGAGUGGAAAGUUCACACUGUGACGGUAGCUUACCAGAAAGGGACGGCUAACUACGU
rnacentral:rRNA from 1 species